GACAGAGGGUGCAAACGUUGUUCGGAAUUACUGGGCGUAAAGCGCGUGUAGGGUGCCUCGCAAGUCGGAUGUGAAAGCCCGGGGCUUACCCCCGGAAGUGCAUUGGAAACUGCAAGGCUCGAGUACCGGAGAGGAAGGUGGAAUUCCUGGUGUAGCGGUGAAAUGCGUAGAUAUCAGGAGGAACACCAAUUGCGAAGGCAGCUCGCUGGGACGUGACUGACGCUGAGACGCGAAAGCGUGGGGAGCAAACAGG
rnacentral:rRNA from 1 species